rnacentral:rRNA from 1 species
AUUGAACGCUGGCGGCAUGCCUUACACAUGCAAGUCGAACGGCAGCACGGGUGCUUGCACCUGGUGGCGAGUGGCGAACGGGUGAGUAAUACAUCGGAACGUACCUUAUCGUGGGGGAUAACGCAGCGAAAGCUGUGCUAAUACCGCAUACGCCCUGAGGGGGAAAGCGGGGGAUCGCAAGACCUCGCGCGAUUAGAGCGGCCGAUGCCUGAUUAGCUUGUUGGUGGGGUAAAAGCCCACCAAGGCGACGAUCAGUAGCUGGUCUGAGAGGACGAUCAGCCACACUGGGACUGAGAAACGGCCCAGACUCCUACGGGAGGCAGCAGUGGGGAAUAUUGGACAAUGGGGGCAACCCUGAUCCAGCCAUGCCGCGUGAGUGAAGAAGGCCUUCGGGUUGUAAAGCCCUUUCGCGAGGGAAGAAAGCGCACUGGUUAAUACCUGGUGUGGAUGACGGUACCUUGAUAAGAAGCACCGGCUAACUACGUGCCAGCAGCCGCGGUAA